GACGAACGCUGGCGGCGUGCUUAACACAUGCAAGUCGAACGGAAAGGCCCUGCUUUUGUGGGGUGCUCGAGUGGCGAACGGGUGAGUAACACGUGAGUAACCUGCCCUUGACUUUGGGAUAACUUCAGGAAACUGGGGCUAAUACCGGAUAGGAGCUCCUGCUGCAUGGUGGUGGUUGGAAAGUUUCGGCGGUUGGGGAUGGACUCGCGGCUUAUCAGCUUGUUGGUGGGGUAGUGGCUUACCAAGGCUUUGACGGGUAGCCGGCCUGAGAGGGUGACCGGCCACAUUGGGACUGAGAUACGGCCCAGACUCCUACGGGAGGCAGCAGUGGGGAAUAUUGCACAAUGGGCGGAAGCCUGAUGCAGCAACGCCGCGUGCGGGAUGACGGCCUUCGGGUUGUAAACCGCUUUCGCCGGUGACGAAGCGUGAGUGACGGUAAUGGGUAAAGAAGCACCGGCUAACUACGUG
rnacentral:rRNA from 1 species